ensembl:lncRNA
GAAGCCGCACAGAGAAGCAGGAGGCCCAGGUGAGAAGCCAGGUUCAACAGGUGGUCGCUGUGUGACUCUGGCUGACCUCAGAGCCCCCUCACUUUCCUCCUCUGUGAGGGUCCCAGCUCUGAGGACAGUGACAAUGAGGAACACCAGUCGCUGCUUUUUGUCAAGAUUGAAAAAGCUUCCUUGUGCUGGCAGCCAAUGCAGAGAUUCACCAGGAGUGAGACAGAAAGAGAGAUACAGAGGCCCAGGACCUCCAGCCAUCCCCACAGCCCAGAUCCACCCUGGGCUUUCCAAGCGCUUGAGCCAAUAAAUCUCCUCUGCUCUUUAUUCCUCCUAAACUAAGUUUCUUUCACCGACAGCCAAGCAUUUACUAACAUGCUCAAGAAAUACCUGUUGGGGCCAGUCACAGCUUCCCAAACCCUGGCAUGUCUUCAAGAUCCCAGGUCUAAAAGGCCCUGGUUCUAAAUCAACGAUCGGGACCCCACAAGUUCCUGAUAGGUUUAAUACACUCUCACAGAUCUCCAAAUGCCUUUGGGCUCACUUGGCUUACCUCAGCCCAAAGGAUACACAAUGUCUGUAAGUUCAUUUUUCUGCAUGGAAAAUGCCUUGUACAACCAGAGCACCUGGCCAAUUACUCCAAAAUGACUGCAGACCUCCAUAAGGAAGGCUCCUGGAGGACAUCCAUGAGGAAACCAGUGGCAACAGGAGGAUGAGCGCCUGAGGGUGAAGAAAGAGCUUGCCUUCUUCAAGCCCAGCCGGAAGAGAACGAAGCUUUAAUCUGUCUUCUAGGUGACUUUAUUCUGAGAAAAAGCCCCUUAGCCAACAUUUGUGUCUCUUCCAAAAUUCAUGAUGGAGCUGAACCCGCAGUGCAGAAGUGUCAAGAGGCGGGGCCUUCAGGAGACCAUUGGGAUUACUGGCUUGAAGGCAUAAGUUUGUUUCUUCCUCCCUUUCCAUGAUAUGGGACCCAGCAAUGAGGCAUCACCCUGGAAGCAGAAAGCAGCCCUCAGCAGAUACCAAAGCUGCCAGAACCUUGAUCUUGGGCUUUGCUAGACUCCAGAGCUGUGAGAAAUAAAUUCCCAUUCUUUAUAAGUUAGCCAGUGUAAGGUAUUUUGUUACAGCAGCACAGGCAGACCACAACAUCAAGUAAUCAAGAGUAACUUUAAUCUUCUAUAAAAAACGGAGCUACAAAUACCCAUCUCUCUGGGCUUUGUGAGUAUCUGAGGCGAUAUUUGUAAAAUAUCUGACACCAGUCAACUUCCUGGGCAAAGGGGCUGAGGCCCUUGAGCUAGCUCACCCCUCCCUCGCUCUUCUGUCACCAGAUGAGCAGCCCCUCUGCCUCCUGGAGGCCCUGGGGGAACUUCCUCUGGAGCCCCUUCCCUUUACAAGGCAUGGGAAGCAGGCUCUCAGGAGCACAUAUUCUGCCUCUGACAUGUCAUAAAUCCAUAGCCACGUCUUCACGUUCCUUGUAUUCUUAUGUGGUUCAUGUAAAAUCUCAUUCAACCCUUGGCCCUGAAUACCCAUCUCUAGGACCCGGUUACUAAGAAGCAGCAGUUCACAGGAGAUUUUAUCAACAGGGGUUACUUCUGUGUGGAUGUGAAUUUAUCUCCGAGAAAAUAAAUCCCUGGUGCAUUCAGAC